AGCGAACGCUGGCGGCGUGCCUAACACAUGCAAGUCGAACGUGAAAGGGAGCAAUCCCAAGUAAAGUGGCGUACGGGUGAGUAACACGUAGGUAAUCUACCCCAGAAUCUGGAAUAACCGGCCGAAAGGCUGGCUAAUACUGGAUAGAGCGACGGAAUCCGUAAUUGGGUUUUUCGGGAAAGGGAGCCUGUAAAAAGGCCUUCGUUCUGGGAUGAGCCUGCGUCCCAUCAGCUAGUUGGUGAGGUAAAAGCUUACCAAGGCAAUGACGGGUAGCUGGUCUGAGAGGACGAUCAGCCACACUGGAACUGAAACACGGUCCAGACUCCUACGGGAGGCAGCAGUGGGGAAUCUUGCGCAAUGGACGAAAGUCUGACGCAGCAACGCCGCGUGAGUGAAGAAGGACUUCGGGUUGUAAAGCUCUGUCGAGUGGGACGAAAAUGCUUGGAGUUCACAGCUCCAGGAACUGACGGUACCACUAAAGGAAGCACCGGCUAACUCCGUG
rnacentral:rRNA from 1 species